AUGUUGUUGGUUUUCUAUUGAGACAUCAUUAAUUUCUUCCUUAUUCUAGCUUCAGUCGACAUUUAUAUGUUGUAUGUAAUCCAUUAAUACGACAUAUUUUUCUGAAACCUUCCAGAUUCAGCUUCUUCCAGACGACAUAAGAUAUGUCGUCUGAACAGAUAUCAGACGACGGUGGAAAACUGUCGUCUGAGGUCAAUCACACGACACAGCCUCAGACGACAUAAAAAAAACUGUCAGACGACAGACCUGGACUGUCGUCUGAUGAAUAUUUUGGCAUAGUGAGUGCUACAAAUAAACACUGAUCUUUGUUUGUUCGUGUCUAAUUAAGUAGCUAUGGUGUUUCCUUCAAUAUUGAUGAAGUGACAACAAAUUAAUGUUGUUCAUCGUAAUUAUUCAACAUUAAUUGUAGAUUUGUAGAUGCUCUCAUCUCAACUAACCUAAAUACUCUCGCAUAGAACUACAUACUCUCGCAUGAUCCUUUAGUUUUCCAGAGCUUUGGUCGAUAUGCUUGAUGAUAAUUAAGCCUCUUCGUUUGAAACACGUACAUAGAUAUAAUUUGAAUACUAGCUUAGCAAAUGAAGUAUUGUCUUGUUGAACUACGUACCAAUAUAAGAAUAGUGCAUCGCGAUAUCAAGAUCGACGAGCAAUGUGUUGCUGGAUAAGAUCUCAGAUUUUGGCUUCGCAAAUUAAGCUUAAUGAAGAUGGCAACACCCACAUUAGCACUUGGAUAUUGCUG
rnacentral:lncRNA from 1 species